AAAAAUAUUAUCUAUUUUACUUUCCCACUCAAUGUACUCAUCAGCACCAAUACCAUCAUAAAUAGGCGGGGAAGAAAGAAUAGAAUGACCUACGAGACAAGGUGUAGCAGCAAUAGUGCGUGUCUCAUGCAUCAUAGAUGUCCCAUAUUGAUCAGUGUUAUACCUGUCAUUGUAGACACAAAACACAACAACAAACAAUGAAGAUUAUCCUAAAUAAUUCAACUAUGCAGGUGGAGUGGGUCCUCUCAAAUCAUAGCAAAGGAAACACACCUUAUCAAGUGCUUACAAGGUUCUUACUAUCAAGGCAAAGGAUACCUGGAAGGCAUAGCCCAAGAUUGCAAGGGUCUUUUUCUAUGCUGAUCUGAAGUAUAUGUGGAGCUUAGGAGGCACACAAAGAAUAAAUAUAUGUAUGUGGCACACAAUUCAGUAACAUAGAGCAAUACUGAAUACAUAUCCAGAGCACUUGUCCUAGUUGCUGGCCUAUAUGUGUUUCUAGCAUAAAUUGUGUAAACAGGGAUUAAAACAAGUAUAAAUAGAAACAAGUAUGAAAGGUAGCAACGCAAAUAUGUACAAGACAAAAGGCACCACAAACAAUAGAGCUAUUGAGUGUUCCCUGUGUGCUCUUUUUUUGAUCUCUUCUCUUUUCUUUUAAUAUUUUUUCUUUAAUUUUUCUGUCCAAUUCUUUUUUUUUUGCUUUUGCUUUUUUGAUAUUUUUCUCAGCUGGAAGCACACAGGCACAAAACACAAAAAAACUUGAGCUUUGUUGGAUAAAAGAUGUGGUCUAUAUAAAAUCAAGAUUAUACUCUAAAAACAUGUCAAAACUUGUGGGCCCAAAAACUCGAUUUUCCUGAUCAAAUUUCACAACUCUAAAUUUUGCGAAUCCAUCUAUGCUGGGAUAGAAUGGAUAUAAAAUUUUCUUGCAUUCUCCGUAGGUAUAAAAUUCACCUUGUUUCGAGUUCGGAUGUAAAAGUUAUGACAGUUUUAAGGAAACUGCUCGAAUCAGGGUUUUAGUGGACACAAGAUGCAAAUAGAUGGUGAUACGGGAUGAUGGCGGAUAAAGAGAUUAACCCAAACUAGAAAAGAACACAAUCUAAAUCAGCAACAAGACCUUGACCGACCUAGGACAUAAACUCAAUACAGCGGACUCUGAAACUAAAAUGUGCAAGGCUAUGGCACAGAUGGCUGUAGGACACGAAACAAAUAUGACGGUGGAUUAUGGGAUGAAGCAAAAUCAACUAAACUACGAUAAAUAUGAACUUUAUGGUAUACGUGAGGCUCUAAUACCAAAUAAUGGGGACAGGGUUCUCGAUCUUGUGUCAGGGUCAAGAUAAACAACAAUUUAUUCGGAGAGCAACACACCGAUCUGGCUUCCGAUCACAAAGACCCAAACCCUACAACCUUAGCACCACAUCUCCUCUGGUUAUCGACCGGCACU
rnacentral:lncRNA from 1 species